CUUCGAAAUCGCGAUGCAGCGAAGCGAUCGUUUCGUCGCGAAACGAAAGUGUGAUUUGACGCAUGUUGGUUCCCGGUUCCGCCUCCGGAUUUCGAAGGC
rnacentral:tRNA from 1 species